UACAUGGGGUGCAAACGUUGCUCGGAAUUAUUGGGCGUAAAGCGCACGUAGGCGGUCUGUUAUGUCGGACGUGAAAUCCCCCGGCUCAACCGGGGAAGUGCAUCCGAAACUGGCAGGCUUGAGUACGAAAGAGGGUCGCGGAAUUCCCGGUGUAGAGGUGAAAUUCGUAGAUAUCGGGAGGAACACCGGUGGCGAAGGCGGCGACCUGGGUCGAUACUGACGCUGAGGUGCGAAAGCGUGGGGAGCGAACAGG
rnacentral:rRNA from 1 species